rnacentral:rRNA from 1 species
UUCGCCCUUAGAGUUUGAUCCUGGCUCAGGAUGAACGCUAGCUACAGGCUUAACACAUGCAAGUCGAGGGGCAGCGGGAUUGAAGCUUGCUUCAAUUGCCGGCGACCGGCGCACGGGUGAGUAACGCGUAUCCAACCUUCCGUACACUCAGGGAUAGCCUUUCGAAAGAAAGAUUAAUACCUGAUAGUAUCUUAAGCACACAUGUAAUUAAGAUUAAAGAUUUAUCGGUGUACGAUGGGGAUGCGUUCCAUUAGGUAGUAGGCGGGGUAACGGCCCACCUAGCCAACGAUGGAUAGGGGUUCUGAGAGGAAGGUCCCCCACAUUGGAACUGAGACACGGUCCAAACUCCUACGGGAGGCAGCAGUGAGGAAUAUUGGUCAAUGGACGAGAGUCUGAACCAGCCAAGUAGCGUGAAGGAUGAAGGUCCUACGGAUUGUAAACUUCUUUUAUAAGGGAAUAAACCCUCCCACGUGUGGGAGCUUGUAUGUACCUUAUGAAUAAGCAUCGGCUAACUCCGUGCCAGCAGCCGCGGUAAUACGGAGGAUGCGAGCGUUAUCCGGAUUUAUUGGGUUUAAAGGGAGCGCAGACGGGUCGUUAAGUCAGCUGUGAAAGUUUGGGGCUCAACCUUAAAAUUGCAGUUGAUACUGGCGUCCUUGAGUGCGGUUGAGGUGUGCGGAAUUCGUGGUGUAGCGGUGAAAUGCUUAGAUAUCACGAAGAACUCCGAUUGCGAAGGCAGCACACUAAUCCGUAACUGACGUUCAUGCUCGAAAGUGUGGGUAUCAAACAGGAUUAGAUACCCUGGUAGUCCACACGGUAAACGAUGGAUACUCGCUGUUGGCGAUAUACUGUCAGCGGCUUAGCGAAAGCGUUAAGUAUCCCACCUGGGGAGUACGCCGGCAACGGUGAAACUCAAAGGAAUUGACGG